rnacentral:rRNA from 1 species
UGCCUUAGUAGCGGCGAGUGAAGCGGCAAGAGCUCAAAUUUGAAAUCUGGUACCUUUGGUGCCCGAGUUGUAAUUUGAAGAUCACAAUCUUGAAAUUGGUCCUUGUCUAUGUUCCUUGGAACAGGACGUCACAGAGGGUGAGAAUCCCGUGCGAUGAGGAUACCUUUUUCAUUUAAGAUGUGUUCGACGAGUCGAGUUGUUUGGGAAUGCAGCUCAAAGUGGGUGGUAAAUUCCAUCUAAAGCUAAAUAUUGGCGAGAGACCGAUAGCGAACAAGUACAGUGAUGGAAAGAUGAAAAGAACUUUGAAAAGAGAGUGAAAAAGUACGUGAAAUUGUUGAAAGGGAAGGGUAUUUAAUCAGACUUGGUAUUUAGCUAUCUCUUCUCCUUGUGGGAGGGGCUCUAGCUUUUUACUGGGCCAGCAUCAGUUUUGGUGGUGAGAUAAUCGCAGUUGAAUGUGGCUCCUCGGAGUGUUAUAGCUUCUGUUGAUGUUACCUACUGGGACUGAGGUCUGCGGCUUUGCCUAGGAUGCUGGCGUAAUGAUUAAACACCGCCCGUCUUGAAACAUGGACCAAGGAGUCUAACGUCUAUGCGAGUGUUUGGGUGUAAAACCCGUACGCGUAAUGAAAGUGAACGUAGAUCAGGGCCCGUAUGGGUGCACGAUCGACCGAUCCUGAUGUUUUCAGAUGGAUUUGAGUAAGAGCAUAGCUGUUGGGACCCGAAAGAUGGUGAACUAUGCCUGAAUAGGGUGAAGCCAGAGGAAACUCUGGUGGAGGCUCGUAGCGGUUCUGACGUGCAAAUCGAUCGUCG